rnacentral:rRNA from 1 species
GACGAACGCUGGCGGCGUGCCUAAUACAUGCAAGUCGAACGCUUCUUUCCUCCCGAGUGCUUGCACUCAAUUGGAAAGAGGAGUGGCGGACGGGUGAGUAACACGUGGGUAACCUACCCAUCAGAGGGGGAUAACACUUGGAAACAGGUGCUAAUACCGCAUAACAGUUUAUGCCGCAUGGCAUAAGAGUGAAAGGCGCUUUCGGGUGUCGCUGAUGGAUGGACCCGCGGUGCAUUAGCUAGUUGGUGAGGUAACGGCUCACCAAGGCCACGAUGCAUAGCCGACCUGAGAGGGUGAUCGGCCACACUGGGACUGAGACACGGCCCAGACUCCUACGGGAGGCAGCAGUAGGGAAUCUUCGGCAAUGGACGAAAGUCUGGCCGAGCAACGCCGCGUGAGUGAAGAAGGUUUUCGGAUCGUAAAACUCUGUUGUUAGAGAAGAACAAGGACGUUAGUAACUGAACGUCCCCUGACGGUAUCUAACCAGAAAGCCACGGCUAACUACGUG